rnacentral:lncRNA from 1 species
CCCAAAUCUGACUCCUGCACAGAUUUCUCCAAGUUCAGCAUGGCCCUGAGCCUGCUCCGUUUAGACAGAAGCCAUGACGGGAUUCCACAGGACCAGGGCAGCCAGGACUCUGGCGGGGAGUCAGACCUGUGUGAAUAGUUCGCAGGCCAGCAGUGGAUAUUUCUGUCCUAACCUCAUAGCUUCUUAUGUGAGGUUACUGUCUGUGCCAUGUUUGCCACUUAAUUAUUUAGGAGGAGCAGUCUAGGGUCGUAGGAAGGAAGCAAGCUCCAAAAACAGAGACCAGAGUUCAAGUUUGGAGUCAGCCACGGCGUAAUAUGAGAAAGCUGCUUCAUCUACCUGCUGUUCCUCAAUAGAAGGUCAUGGCCGGUAUGAGGUGGGCACCCAAAUACAUUGUUCCUAGUCUUUCUUCACCUGCCUCGCAAGAUAAGAAGCCCAGACCUGGUUGUUCUGUGUGUUCUAAGAAUACAACAACACAGGCAGUUGAAGAGCCAAGCCGACAAUCAAAAUUGUCCAAAAUGAGACAGCCAACUACAGACAAGCAUAAGAAGGUUGUGAGGAAGAAAAUACUCAAUUUAUCUCACUUAAGAGUGCCAUUACAAACGAGCCUUCAGGCCAGGUGUGGUGGCUUAUGCUGGUAAUCCCAGCACUUUGGGAAGCUAAGACGGGAGAAUCACUCGAGCUCUGGAGUUGAAGACCAGCCUGGGCAACAUAGCAAGACCCUGUCUCUACAAAAAGUAAACAAAUUAGUCAAGCGUGGUGGCACACACCCAAAGUCCCAGCUAUUCAGGAGGCUGAGGCAGGAGAAUCAUUUGAACCCAGAAGCUCAAGGUUACAAUGAGCUAUGAUAGCACCACUGCUCUCCGGCCUAAGCAAGACCCUGUCUCAAAAAAAAAAAAAAAAAAAAAAAAAAAAGAAUCUUCAAGUGUAGUCCACAAGAGAAAAAGAAAAAAAAAGAAACCAAGUGGUGACUGAAAGUCACAGAACUGCUUGCUGUACAUUAGUAGAUUUCAUAGGAAACUACUAUAAUGGCCACCAUCUAUGGGCCAGUUGCAGUUCCAGAAAUCCUUGUACAAUAAUCAUUCCUUUACAGAAAACAGGCUUGAAAUUUUCCAUCAAAAAUAGAAAGUCCACUUUGACAUCUGGCCUUUUGGCCAAUAUUUAAGAUGUCUGUUUUCAAAAAGUGCCCAUGUUAAAACUUGUCUCCAUAUCACUCACAUGCAUUCUGCAGAAGGUAACCUAUGCCCAAACCGAA